rnacentral:rRNA from 1 species
AACAAACGCUGGCGGCGUGCCUAACACAUGCAAGUCGUACGAGAAAGGGUCCUUCGGGAUCUGAGUAAAGUGGCGCACGGGUGAGUAACGCGUGGAUAAUCUGCCCUUCAGUUGGGAAUAACUCAUCGAAAGGUGGGCUAAUACCGAAUAAUACUGUGAGACCUCGGUCGAUCAGUCAAGGAGAACCUCUGCUUGCAUGCCCUGGCUGAAGAAGGAUUCGGGGUACCAUUAGCUAGUUGGUAGGGUAAUAGCCUACCAAGGCGACGAUGGUUAGCUGGUCUGAGAGGUUGAUCAGCCACACUGGAACUGAGACACGGUCCAGACUCCUACGGGAGGCAGCAGUGAGGAAUCUUGCGCAAUGGGGGAAACCCUGACGCAGCAACGCCGCGUGAGUGAGGAAGGUCUUCGGAUUGUAAAGCUCUGUCGGAUGGAAAGAACCGCAUAGGGGUAAAUAGCGCCUAUGUCUGACGGUACCAUCAAAGGAAGCACCGGCUAACUCCGUGCCAGCCGCCGCUGUAA